GCCUUCGUGUUGUAGUGGUCAGCACGCUCGACGCGUAACCGAGAGGUCAGUGGUUCGAUUCCCGGCGAAGGCG
rnacentral:tRNA from 1 species